AUAAUGCAAGUCGAGCGAACAGAUAAGGAGCUUGCUCCUUUGACGUUAGCGGCGGACGGGUGAGUAACACGUGGAUAACCUACCUAUAAGACUGGGAUAACUUCGGGAAACCGGAGCUAAUACCGGAUAACAUAUUGAACCGCAUGGUUCAAUAGUGAAAGGCGGCUUUGCUGUCACUUAUAGAUGGAUCCGCGCCGUAUUAGCUAGUUGGUAAGGUAACGGCUUACCAAGGCAACGAUACGUAGCCGACCUGAGAGGGUGAUCGGCCACACUGGAACUGAGACACGGUCCAGACUCCUACGGGAGGCAGCAGUAGGGAAUCUUCCGCAAUGGGCGAAAGCCUGACGGAGCAACGCCGCGUGAGUGAUGAAGGUCUUCGGAUCGUAAAACUCUGUUAUCAGGGAAGAACAAAUGUGUAAGUAACUGUGCACAUCUUGACGGUACCUGAUCAGAAAGCCACGGCUAACUACGUGCCAGCAGCCGCGGUAAUACGUAGGUGGCAAGCGUUAUCCGGAAUUAUUGGGCGUAAAGCGCGCGUAGGCGGUUUUUUAAGUCUGAUGUGAAAGCCCACGGCUCAACCGUGGAGGGUCAUUGGAAACUGGAAAACUUGAGUGCAGAAGAGGAAAGUGGAAUUCCAUGUGUAGCGGUGAAAUGCGCAGAGAUAUGGAGGAACACCAGUGGCGAAGGCGACUUUCUGGUCUGUAACUGACGCUGAUGUGCG
rnacentral:rRNA from 1 species